GGAGAGAUGGGUGAGUGGCUGAAACCAACAGUUUGCUAAACUGUCGUAGGAGUACAACUUCCUACCGGGGGUUCGAAUCCCCCUCUCUCCG
rnacentral:tRNA from 1 species